AUGAACCCGUAUCAUUUUCUCCCCUAAUCAUUUUCCUUUUUCCCCUCAAACCAGAAUGCAAGACGAGAAACCUGUUGUUCUUCCCGUCGUUCUUCCUGCACCUCUUCAUCUCCGAAUUUCAGGGCCCACGACCAGGAAAUCAAGCACAGGCUCAUCUAUUCCAGAACAUCCUUCUACCCAAGAACGACGCAGGCAACUGAAUCCGAAGGUGGAAAUAGAUGAUGGACAAAGGAAAAGAGAUUAUAGAAGAUGAAAAUAUUGAUGUCGUUGUAGAAUAUGAUGAUGAGAACAUGGUCGCAAAUUUGAACACAUUGGACAACGAAAAAUUAGAAGGAGAUGUUGCGACUAAGCCUGAGGUAAGUAUGAUGUUUAAUAGUGAAGAAGAAAUGUUGGACUUCUUUAAACGACAUGCUUACGCGGUGGAUUUUCCAGUGAGGUAACGAAAUUCAAAAAAGGGAAAAGAUGGAGUUAUGAGAUAUGUGACGUUCGCAUAUAGUCGUGAAGGUUGGAGAAUUUAUGCUACAGGGGGUUCUCUGAAGCCACAACCAACCAGUCAGACGGAUUGUAAAGCAAGAAUAUCUGCAUCAUUAGAUGGUCUUAGAAUUUGGAGAAUUAACAAAGUGUUCCUAGAGCAUAAUCAUAGGACAAGUCCUUCUAAUGUAUCGAUGCAAUCGAAAAUUGACUACAAGUGCGAAGCAAAAUCUCGAAUUAAAUGAUAUGGCAGGAAUCCCCUUGCACAAGAGUUUUAACUCCAUAGUUGUGGCAGCAGGUGGAUAUGAGAACAUAACAUUCAUGGAAAAGGACUGUCGGAACUAUAUAGAUCAAGUGAGACGACUAUGACUCGGUGACGGAGAAGCGAUCACAAUACAAGGGUACUUUUCAAAGAUGCAAGCACGUUGCUUAGGAUUUUAUUUCAGUAUGGACUUAGGUGACGAGUCACAAUUGAGGAAUGUAUUUUGGGCAGAUAAUAAAUGUAGGCAAUCUUACAAAGAGUUUGGUGAUAUCGUCACUUUUGAUACUACGUAUUUCACUAAUAAAUAUGACAUGCCCUUCGUCCCUUUUGUUGGCGUAAAUCAUCACGGACAAUCGACUCUGCUUGGUUGUGGACUAUUAUCGAACGAAGACACAGGCAGUUUUGUGUGGUUGUUCGAGACAUGGCUCGAGUGCAUGCAUGGUGAAGCCCCCAGUGGAAUAAUGACUGAUCAAGAUCGGGCAAUGUAAAAUGCAAUUGAGAUUGUAUUUCCAAAUACAAAAUAUAGAUGAUGUUUGUGACAUAUUUUUAAGAAGCUGCCAGAAAAUUUUAGGUACCAUGUGCAUAAGGGCGCCAUAUUUUAUGCUAUACACGAGCUGGUAUAUGAAUCACAGUUCGUUGAAGAAUUCAAGCACGGUUGGAGGGUGAUGCUCGAUAUGUAUGACUUACAUGAGAAUGAUUGGUUGUUGGGCCUGUACAAUAACAGAAGUCGUUGGGCUUCUUGUUUUUUGAAGAUCACUUUCUAGGCAGGGAUGUCCACAACACAACGAAGUGAGAGUAUGAAUGCAUUUUUUUGAUCGAUACGUGCAUUCAAAGACUUUGUUGAAGCAGUUCGUUGAACAGUAUGAGAGAGCACUGAGGAAUAAGGUUGAGAAAGAGUUUCAGGCUGAUUUCAAGUCAUUUUCUCAAAUGGUACCAUAUGCAACUACUUUCGAAAUAGAGAAACAGUUUCAAUCAAUUUACACAAUUUCGAAGUUCAAAGAAGUACAAAAUGAGUUCACUGGGAAGGUUUACUGUGAUCUAAUUUCUGAGAAGGAGGAAUGUUUUUGGACGAACUAUGAGGUUCAUGAGCAUCAGAAGAGCAGAACAUAUUGUGUCUCAUUUUGGAGAGAUCCUUGCGAAUUCACUUGUAGUUGCCACUUAUUAGAGUUCCGAGGAAUCAUUUGUUGGCAUGCGAUCAUAGUUUUGGUUCGCAAUUGCAUCACUGAAAUGCCUAAUAGGUAUAUAUUACGGAGAUGGCGGAGAGAUGUCAAAAGAGCACACACGAGGGUCAAAGUCAAUUAUGUUGGGUUAGGAAGUACUUCGGGACAGUUAAGAUAUGACAAUAUGUGCGAGGCUUUCUUGAAGCUAGCAGAUCUCGUUGCAGAUGAUGAAGAGUGAUCACAUGCUAUAAUGGAAUGGAUAAAAUUACAAGCAGAACACAUACGGAAGCAAAGCCAUUUUGCAGCAUGUUAUUUGUUCAGCCUCUGAUUGUAACGAGUCACAAAAUUAUGUGAGCAUGAGCAUAUUGGAUCUUAAUUCAUCUAAAAGGAAGGGCGUUCAGAGGAAACUUCGAUGGAGAGGUUGCUUGGAGUCCACUUCAUACAAAUCGAAGGUAUUGUGGUCCAUUCCCCUUUUAAUUGAUUGUGCAUUUGAGUUAAA